UACGGAGGGAGCUAGCGUUGUUCGGAAUUACUGGGCGUAAAGCGCGCGUAGGCGGCUUUGUAAGUUAGAGGUGAAAGCCCGGGGCUCAACCCCGGAACUGCCUUUAAGACUGCAUCGCUUGAAUCCGGGAGAGGUGAGUGGAAUUCCGAGUGUAGAGGUGAAAUUCGUAGAUAUUCGGAAGAACACCAGUGGCGAAGGCGCUCUGCUGGACCAUAACUGACACUCAGGGACGAAAGCUAGGGGAGCGAAUGGG
rnacentral:rRNA from 1 species